rnacentral:snoRNA from 1 species
CGCAGGUGAUGCGAGGUUGCAGUCCUAGGUGAUGGUGAGGACUCCCACCCACCAAGAUCGCUGAUGCA